AGGCUUCUCUGCCCCCUCUGCUUCUCUUCCCCCUCCCGCCUUCAGCCCGUCCUGACAAAAUGCCAGCGGAGAAAGGUUUCCUGCUAGCCCUAAUGAUGUCCUGGGCUGAACAUCUGCAGCCUCCUUGUGCCGAACGCAGAUCAGCUCAUCUCCCUUCUCUCCGCGACCCCCUAAAAUGAGACCUUUCUAUUACUAGGCUCUGGCUUAGACUCUGCGUGAUUAGAUUGAGUUUUCGUUUCACAGCAUGUCUAGAUGCAGUGGACACAGCCUGCUCUGUAUUUCUUAGCAGUCUUUCCCAUCCUGCUUACUACUGUCACCUAGUAAUAAGUUUUAACCAGUGCAACUUGGCUUUCUUGGCUAGCAGCACCUCUUCUGGCCUUUUCUCUCCUUUAAAUGGAAUGAGGAUAUUCUGAUGCAGUUCUCUAUGAUAUAUAUUUUCCACACCAGAAAAAAAAAAAAAAAAAAAGGUCUCAUGGAGUUAACACCUAUUUUCCACAGGUGUUAAUUAAUUGUUGCCACAAUUGCCACAAGUCGGUUCCAUUUUACUUCCUAAAAUAGUCCUUAAGUAGAAUUCAAGUGUUGCAGAGGACUUUUUUUAGGCUUUUUGCUCAAUGGCGUUAAUAGUACAUGACCUUAACAUGAAUAUUAUGAAAUAUCAUCCUAGGGCAGAACAGCAAAACCCACAAGCAAUGGACCUAAAAGUACMUGAAUGGUGCAAGAACUGAUACCACUCACUGAAAAUCCUUAAGUUAAGCUGGUCACCCAGUCUCAACAGAGGAUGGUGRCCCUCAACUGCAGGUCGUUAGACUACAACUAAAUACAGGUGUGCACCUGUGUGGGUCAAUUCUCACCACAACAGGAUGAGCUUGGAUGUUAGGUGCAAAACAACCUUUGGAGGCUCCUUCUUCCAGAACUUGCUGCAUGUUUCUUCUUGGCUAUGGAAACGGUGUGCAAUUUAUGACACCAGUUCAGCAGUUCCCCUUAGUUUGCAGCUUGCAAACCCCUUAUGCAAACAAUAUUGUCACCUUCUUAAGGCGCCCUGCUCCUGCUUAUAAUGAAUUCUUUGCAUGCCGCUCUGCUGUAAAUUCUCCAUCUAAAAUUUCCAUCCACUUCAUGUCUUGUCGGGGGAAACCACACUUGACUUCCAAAACAGCUGGGAGGAGCAAAUUGAUAACCUCCUAACGUGCUUUGCCCUCCACUGAAAUUAUGACAAAGUAAUUAAAGUUAAAGCAAAAAGGCUCAAACUCUGGACCGCUUAUGUUAUUAGUGUUUUUGCAUGGGUGAGAUCUUUUCAGAAGUCUGAUUUGAAUGUCAAAUUUGCAUAUGAAGCCAGAAAACGUAGGGAAUGCUUAAUUGCUGCCUGUGUCCA